rnacentral:sRNA from 1 species
GCAAAAGCUCAAAUUUGAAAUCUGGCGCCUUCGGUGUCCGAGUUGUAAUUUGAAGAUUGUAACCUUGGGGUUGGCUCUUGUCUAUGUUUCUUGGAACAGGACGUCACAGAGGGUGAGAAUCCCGUGCGAUGAGAUGCCCAAUUCUAUGUAAGGUGCUUUCGAAGAGUCGAGUUGUUUGGGAAUGCAGCUCUAAGUGGGUGGUAAAUUCCAUCUAAAGCUAAAUAUUGGCGAGAGACCGAUAGCGAACAAGUACAGUGAUGGAAAGAUGAAAAGAACUUUGAAAAGAGAGUGAAAAAGUACGUGAAAUUGUUGAAAGGGAAGGGUUUGAGAUCAGACUCGAUAUUUUGUGAGCCUUGCCUUCGUGGCGGGGUGACCCGCAGCUUAUCGGGCCAGCAUCGGUUUGGGCGGUAGGAUAAUGGCGUAGGAAUGUGACUUUACUUCGGUGAAGUGUUAUAGCCUGCGUUGAUGCUGCCUGCCUAGACCGAGGACUGCGAUUUUAUCAAGGAUGCUGGCAUAAUGAUCCCAAACCGCCCGUCUUGAAA